AACUGCAGAUUGGAGAAAGGGGUGCGCGUGAUGACGUUCCUUAGUUUAAGUAAAAUUGAACGCUAGUACAGAUAACUAGUAACUGUUUAGUGUCAACAGCUAUACGACAAGAUUAAAGUUGACUGCGCUGUUUUAACACUUUGUUCAACACUCAGCUGAACCUGUAUUAUCUAUAGAAUACAAACAAGAACAUUGGACAUGCAUAUUAUUACUCUUCUUGAGUUUAAAGCUAUGUUUAUCACCACUGCAGGGUUGAUUAUACUAUUCCUCAACUGUACAGCCGUUCUUAUCAUGUACAGAAUCAUCAACAGCUUGUACAGUAUAGCUCCUAGUAUAUCCGUACACUAUGUACAGGAGGAAAUAUCUAGAGAAAUAAACCCGGCACUGAGUUGUAAAAAUGUGACACUGAGUUCUGAAAACGAGAGAACAAGUCAAUCAAGAGUGGAUCUGAAUUUGGAAAACGAGACCUUGAGUCUAGAAAUUGAAACCGAGAUGUUGAGCCAAGAGAACUAGACCCAGAGUUUACGUGCCAUUGAGUCAAGAAAUAAAGGUUUUGUAAAAGAAGAUAAUUCCCGUGAACCAUAAUUGCUGCAGUCCCAAGAAGAUUUUCAGCCAACCGAUCAUCUUGUUUCAUGAUAAAUUUACGAUUCUACUAAAUAUGACCGUCCAAGUUGAUAAAAUCAAAAUAUCCUAUUACAUCUCUAGCUUUGUAUAUAUAUUGAUGGAACACAAAUCUAUUUUUUUAGAGUUAUAAACAACUCUAUUGUAUUUUGUUACUUGUUAUAUAAUCAUAAUUUGUACAAAUUUUGUUAAUCAUUUCACGCGUGACAUUACUAAUUUUUUAUUUGUUUCUUAGAUAAAAAUAAAUAUAAGAUUAUUUU